CCUACGGGGGGCUGCAGUGAGGAAUAUUGGUCAAUGGGCGCGAGCCUGAACCAGCCAAGUAGCGUGAAGGAUGACUGCCCUACGGGUUGUCAACUUCUUUUAUAAAGGAAUAAAGUGAGGCACGUGUGCCUUUUUGUAUGUACUUUAUGAAUAACGAUCGGCUAACUCCGUGCCAGCAGCCGCGGUAAUACGGAGGAUCCGAGCGUUAUCCGGAUUUAUUUGGUUUAAAGGGAGCGUAGAUGGGUUGUUAAGUCAGUUGUGAAAGGUUGCGGCUCAACCGUAAAAUUGCAAGUGAUACUGGCAGUCUUGAGUACAGUUGAGGUAGGCGGAAUUCGUGGUGGAGCGGUGAAAUGCUUAGAUAUCACGAAGAACUCAGAUUGCGAAGGCAGCUUACUAAACUGCCACUGACAUUGAUGCUCGAAAGUGUGUGUAUCAAACAGGAUUAGAUACCCGGGUAGUC
rnacentral:rRNA from 1 species